UACGUAGGGGGCAAGCGUUGCCCGGAUUUAUUGGGCGUAAAGGGCGCGUAGGCGGUGAGAUGCGUCCGUUGUGAAAUCGCCCGGCUCAACUGGGCGGGGUCAGCGGAUACGGUCUCACUUGAGCAAGCUAGGGGGCAAUGGAAUUCCCGGUGUAGUGGUGGAAUGCGUAGAUAUCGGGAGGAACACCCAUGGCGAAGGCAGCUCUCUGGGUUUCACCUGACACUGAGGCGCGAAAGCGUGGGGAGCGAACGGGG
rnacentral:rRNA from 1 species